rnacentral:rRNA from 1 species
CAGUCGCCACGGUAAUACGGAGGGUGCAAGCGUUAUCCGGAUUUAUUGGGUUUAAAGGGUCCGUAGGCGGAUCUGUAAGUCAGUGGUGAAAUCUCACAGCUUAACUGUGAAACUGCCAUUGAUACUGCAGGUCUUGAGUAAAUUUGAAGUGGCUGGAAUAAGUAGUGUAGCGGUGAAAUGCAUAGAUAUUACUUAGAACACCAAUUGCGAAGGCAGGUUACUAAGAUUUAACUGACGCUGAUGGACGAAAGCGUGGGGAGCGAACAGGAUUAGAGACCCCCGUAGUCCCUGUCUCUUAUAC